rnacentral:rRNA from 1 species
UUUGUAGUCAUAUGCUUGUCUCAAAGAUUAAGCCAUGCAUGUCUAAGUAUAAGCAACUUGUACAGUGAAACUGCGAAUGGCUCAUUAAAUCAGUUAUCGUUUAUUUGAUAAUCCCUUACUACAUGGAUACCUGUGGUAAUUCUAGAGCUAAUACAUGCUUCAAGGAGUGGCUUUCGUCACUCUGCACUUAUUAGAUAAAAAACCAAUGCCCCUUUGGGGCUCCCUGGUGAUUCAUAAUAAUUUAGCGGACCGCAUUCCCUCGAGGAGGCGGUGGAUCAUUCAAAUUUCUGCCCUAUCAACUUUCGAUGGUAGGAUAGUGGCCUACCAUGGUUUCAACGGGUAACGGGGAAUAA